rnacentral:tRNA from 1 species
GCUCGUGUGGCGGAAUCGGUAGACGCAAGGGACUUAAAAUCCCUCGGGCGAAAGCCUGUCCCGGUUCGAUUCCGGGCGCGAGCACCA